rnacentral:rRNA from 1 species
UACGUAGGGUGCAAGCGUUAAUCGGAAUUACUGGGCGUAAAGCGUGCGCAGGCGGUUAUGUAAGACAGGUGUGAAAUCCCCGGGCUUAACCUGGGAACUGCAUUUGUGACUGCAUAGCUAGAGUCCCGGAGAGGGAGGUGGAAUUCCAGGUGUAGCGGUGAAAUGCGUAGAUAUCUGGAAGAACACCGGUGGCGAAAGCGGCCUCCUGGACGGUGACUGACGCUGAGACGCGAAAGCGUGGGGAGCAAACAGG